ensembl:lncRNA LYRM4-AS1 LYRM4 antisense RNA 1
AGAUAUAGAGUGUGAGAGAGAAGAGUGGAGGCUGGUUCUCAGGCUCCAGAAGCAUAAGCCUGCAUGGAGCAUAGCGUCACUGAGCAAGACAGGUGUGGAGGAUGAGAAGCGGGCCACAGGAUGGGAAGGGAAUCUGUGUGGAGGCGGUGCCCUAAACAUGCUGCCUUGAGGAGGGACCUCUACAUGGGGUGGCCGGGCACAGCCAGCUUCAACUUCGAGAAUAAUUUGAAUGUUUUCAGCAUAAAGAAAAGAUAAAUGUUUAAGUUGCACAGGGUACCUCAGACCCACAUCCCAGAUGACAUUCCUCAGAAGCUCGCAGCUGGAGAUGACAUCACCUUAGACAACAUCACCCUAGCCCAAGACAUCGCUAUUAGAGAUACAUCACCUGGACACUAAAGCCUCCAACCCAGUGACACUCUCAAGGUGCUGACAAAAUGGACAUGGACAUUUGUUGCUUUUCUUCUUUUGAAUUAGGAACUCUAUUGUGUUUCCUGAAUUUACUGUCUGCUUGGCCCAUGAUCCUGGUAUGUUCCUUGCUCUCUGCCAAAACAUGCACCGUCCCCUCCACACCUAAAGGAAAACCUGGUAGAAGCUACUACUCUCAAUGCCAUUCUAAAAUUGACGAAGAGUAUUAUUUUCCCCAAGAGGCAGCUGCUGCAGGCCAGUGAAUCCUCUGGACCCUGGGGAGAGGGUCAUACACUCCCUAGUGACUUCUACUGUAUGCUCCAGCUUUCCACCAGGACCUCCUGCCCUGUCCCCAACUGUAACGACCACAACCACCCCAUCCCCUUGGUUACACACAAAUAUCACCAGUCUUUACAUGUACUUUACUGACUUCUCAGAUAAUACCCUCCAACAAGAUAACUGCAGGACUUGCCACCAUGACCUGAGAAAUACACCAAGAUAUUAUUGUCCAA